UGGGGAAUAUUGGACAAUGGGCGCAAGCCUGAUCCAGCAAUGCCGCGUGGGUGAAGACGGCCUGCGGGUUGUAAAGCCCUUUAGGCGGGGAGGAACGACGGGACGUGAAGAGCGUUUCGAAGUGACGGUACCACCAGAGGAAGCACCGGCUAACUCCGUGCCAGCAGCCGCGGUAAUACGGAGGGUGCAAGCGUUAUUCGGAAUUACUGGGCGUAAAGCGCGUGUAGGCGGUCCUGCAAGUCUGAUGUGAAAGCCCCGGGCUUAACCCGGGAAGUGCAUUGGAAACUGUGGGACUUGAGUACUGGAGAGGAUGGGGGAAUUCCCGGUGUAGAGGUGAAAGUCGUAGAGAUCGGGAGGAAUAUCAGUGGCGAAGGCGCCCAUCUGGACGGUAACUGACGCUGAGACGCGAAAGCGUGGGGAGCAAACA
rnacentral:rRNA from 1 species